AGCUAUAAAACAGGAUCAGGAUGGUCAUUAUUCAAGUUCUGAGCUUGAAACGGGAAGAAAGCUAUAAAACAGGAUCAGGAUGGUCAUUAUUCAAGUUCUGAGUUUGAAACGGGAAGAAAGCAAUUCUUGGAGAGUGGUCACUAUCAUUUUUGAAGGCGUGAAUGGCCAGCAAUGUGUGAAACCGUUGAUUUUUGAGAAGGUGAGCAAUGCUGUCAUUUGGAAGCGACCUCUGUAUAUCCAGAUCCAGCAGCAACGUGAGUGGUCGGAUUGACUUGAUCUUCAGUUUGCUGGUAGGGCGCCGGUGCCCGAAUGUAUUGACUUGUAUAAUUCGUCUAAGCUCAAAUUGGUAUGAGUUUAAAGUCCGGAAUCAUGGGACAAGGCCCCAGCUUUUUUUAGCU